AUGGUUUUGCUCCAGUGUUUGGGUUUCUUUGCGGCUGCUCAAGAUCAACCAGUUCUUCGGGAAGGCGAACCCCAAGGCUCCACCGCCCAGCCUGACUGACUGCAUUGGCACGGUGGACAGCAGGGCAGAAUCCAUUGACAAGAAGAUUUCUCGAUUGGAUGCUGAGCUAGUAAAGUAUAAGGAUCAGAUCAAGAAGAUGAGAGAGGGUCCUGCAAAGAAUAUGGUUAAGCAGAAAGCCUUGAAAGUUUUAAAGUAAAAGUGGAUGUAUGAGCAGCAGCAGGGCAAUCUUGAACAACAGCCAUUCAGCAUGGAACAAGCCAAUUAUACCAUCCAGUCAUUGAAGGACACCAAGACCACGGUUGAUGCUAUGAAACUGGGAGUAAAGGAAAUGAAGAAGGCAUACAAGCAACUGAAAAUCGACCAGAUUGAGGAUUUACAAGACCAGCUAGAGGAUAUGAUGGAAGAUGCAAAUGAAAUCCAAGAAGCACUGAUUCGCAGUUAUGGCACCCCAGAACUGGUUGAAGAUGACCUGCAAUUCCGGAACAUGUUCCCACUGACACAAAAAACAAGGAUAGAGUUCUUCUGGUGGAUGAAUUUGGAUUGCCACAGAUCCCUGCUUCAUAGAUCAGCAUCAUUCAAGUAUAUCUUAUAAAACAAACACAUAUUAUGGGACUAGGAAAUAUUUAUCUUUCCAAAUUUACCAUAACAGAUUUAUGUUUCUUUCCUUUCUUUGAAGGAAAGUUUAAUUACAUUGCUCUUUGAUUUUUUCCGUUAAGAGACUCAUUGUUUGGGAAAUGCUUUUUUUUUUUUUUUUUGUACUAAAAUUUGAUUCCUUUUUUUCUUAUGAAAAUUGC